rnacentral:lncRNA from 1 species
CCGUGAAGCCCAAGUGCCUCACAUGGGAAAGAUUUCCUGUAGGAUGGGGAGCUUGAACAGGCUUCAGAAGAUGAGUAGGAUUUGUUGGCUUAUCAUGGGCCUUGAGAGGUGCCAGAGCUAG